rnacentral:rRNA from 1 species
CAGCCGCCAGGGAAUACGAAGGGUGCAAGCGUUACUCGGAAUUACUGGGCGUAAAGCGUGCGUAGGUGGUGGUUUAAGUCCGUUGUGAAAGCCCUGGGCUCAACCUGGGAAUUGCAGUGGAUACUGGGUCACUAGAGUGUGGUAGAGGAUAGUGGAAUUUCCGGUGUAGCAGUGAAAUGCGUAGAGAUCGGAAGGAACAUCUGUGGCGAAGGCGACUAUCUGGGCCAACACUGACACUGAGGCACGAAAGCGUGGGGAGCAAACAGGAUUAGAUACCCCCGUAGUCCCUGUCUCUUAUACA